UAGGGAAUCUUCCGCAAUGGACGCAAGUCUGACGGAGCAACGCCGCGUGAGUGAAGAAGGAUUUCGGUUCGUAAAACUCUGUUGUUAGAGAAGAACAGCGCAUAGAGUAACUGUUAUGCGUGUGACGGUAUCUAACCAGAAAGCCACGGCUAACCACGUGCCAGCAGCCGCGGUAAUACGUAGGUGGCAAGCGUUGUCCGGAUUUAUUGGGCGUAAAGCGAGCGCAGGCGGUCAAUUAAGUCUGAUGUGAAAGCCCCCGGCUCAACCGGGGAGGGUCAUUGGAAACUGGGUGACUUGAGUGCAGAAGAGGAGAGUGGAAUUCCAUGUGUAGCGGUGAAAUGCGUAGAUAUAUGGAGGAACACCAGUGGCGAAGGCGACUCUCUGAUCUGUAACUGACGCUGAGGUUCGAAAGCGUGGGUAGCAAACAGG
rnacentral:rRNA from 1 species